AACUGAAUGCAAAGAUUAUGUACUAAACACACACACAUAUUCCCAUCUGUAACUCUUCCAUUUUCCAUUUCUUAUACAGCAGUCUCUGAGGAUUUAAUAAGUGAGGUGUGUAGCCAGCAGAUAAGAGAUAUCAAAGCAAAGGGUAUAGAAUGGGAGGGGUAUGUGCUUCAUGAGAGACAAACAAGUGCAUUUAUAACUUUUGAUCACAGGGGAGUUUGAGGGCUGCAAGAAUAAUGCAAGUUUAAGGACCUAGAUGAGUAGUAUUUUGUCUAAGUUAGUCUAAUCUUAUCAUCCUUGGUGGUCAAAGACAAUAAAGACAAUGGGGAAAGACUCACAGGAGUGACUGCUGUUUGCAGGAGAUGGUGUCAAGCUGCAGCUGGUAUGCUGUGUAGUACAGUCUGGUGCUAACAUUCUGAUAGAAAGUAAGUUUUAUGUAGAAUCAAGCACUGAGGCAGCCAGGCACCAUUUCUCCUCUGGGUAACUUAGUGUGUCAGUUCUCACUUUUUGUGAGUCUAGGUUGUGUCAGGUGCCCUUAAGUCCAAGAAGUCCUUAAAAGCUUUCUGUUGCAAACAGAAGUAUUUUGUCUUAGGCAUGUGUUAAGUGUUUCUGAAUUGCCUGCAACAUGCAGAAAGCCAUUCCAGAGCAUAUUUGUUACCUAAAUACCUAAACCUGCCCUUUUUUUGGGUCAGCCUCACACACGCAAAAAACCCUUCGUGUUGUGAGGAAACUAUUGCUAGAAAAUGCACAGAUAUGACACAUGUAAAAUUAAGUCUGCCUUCUUUACCUUUACCAAUAAAGAACUGUAUUUUGGUUUGGAAAAUAUAGUAAAUAAUGAUAUAUGUUGAUGGUUAUAUUGGUAAUUGAGUUGAUAAAUAGGAUAUAUUUCUUGCCACUUGUUUGCAAUGUGUUAUCAAUAAGCUUAAUAAUUUUUCAUCAUAAACCAACUGAAAAUAAUUUUCUGACCAAAUAAAACAGUAACUACUAAAUUUAUCUAAUCUUACUCUAUCUUUAAUAAUCACUUCUGUGGAAGGAUGCACUUCUUCAACUGGCUACUGCAUCUAAGUUUUCUUUUUUCUGAGAUCAGGCUUAAGAUUAAAGCAAAAGUUUUUUAAAAAAAUCAAAUUUUGACUUCUUUGCUCUGGUAAGUCCUCACCUGAGUACUGCAUCCAGCUCUGGAGUCCAGAAGAGGACCAUGAAAAUGAGCAGGGGGCUGGAAUACCUCUGCUAUGAGGGCAGACUGAGGAAGAGAAGACUCUGGAGAGACUUAACAUGGGCCUUCCACUACCUGCAGGGGACCUACAGGAAGGAUGCAGAGGGACUGUCUACAAGGACCUGCAGUGAGUGGCACUACUUCAGCUCCAGUGACAAAGUCAGUACAAUAGAGUUUCAAUCCUUACAAAAGAAAAUGUGUGAAAGAAUUACAUGUUCAUAUGACAUUUGAUUCUGGAAUGAGAGAGGCCUGUUAAAAGCCUUACCAUCACCCCAGCUCAGAUAAAUCUUCAGUGUGAGGAAAAGUUGCUAGAUUGAAAUUUCUCUGAGUUACUGACUGCUCUUAAUAUUUAAUCCAUAACUUAGCACUGCGGAGUUUGUAGCACUCAAAAAUGCGUAUCAUCAAAGAGUUAUCAAUAAAUAAACUCUGAACUGACAGUUAAAGGCUUCUUCAGAGACUCCUGUGAGCCAUGUCCUCUAUCUGUAAAACUUGUCUGGAUCUACUGAAGUUGCUCCAGUUUAUGUCAGCAUCUAACUGUUUCUAGGUCCUCACUGGGCUGCAAGAGAAAGCAAGCUACUCUUUACAGGCCUAAUGCUAGCCCUCAUGCAUUAAACAGAAGCUCUUCCACUUCAAUUCUACAGACGUAAAUAACUGCCUUCUCAGGUGUUUCAUGUCAAGUUUCUGAAUGUUAGAAAUGAAUACUGAAACAACCCCAGGCCCAUGCUAACAUUGUUAUUUAUUGUAGUACAGACUCUUCAAAGGCAGAUGGCUACAUAGCAAUAUUUGAGAGCUCAGUUAUUUUUCUGCAUAUUGCAAAACCUGCAGUACCUGAGAUACUACCAUGGGUAACAGUCAGUCCCCAGGUACCUGUGAAGGGACAGGCAGGCUUGCUCCCACCAAAGCCUAAUGUGGCCUCAUCAUGUCUUCCACCUGAGUGUGAGUAGGAAACAGAACCUAACUGUGUAACAUGCAUCACCCACCCAGCAGGAUGUGAGAGGCUGCCCUGAAGAACUUUUAGAGGAAUUCUGCAAGCAGCAAAGAACAAAGCCUGCUUGGCCCAGAGAGCAGGAAGAGGACUCCAGAAAAGCAAUGCUUUUGGAUUCUGCAAGCAGCAAAGAACAAAGCAUGCUUAGCCCAGAGAGUGGGAAGAGGACUAGGGAAAAGUACUGCUUUUGGAAGGUUGCUGUAAAGCCAGAUGGAGAGUCAUGAGCACAGUGCCACAAAGUGCUGUUUGGAUUGCCUGUAGCAGAAGUUACAGUAAGGAAAAGGAAGAAGCAAGCCCUGUUUCAAAUACCUGUAUUCAGGACUGGGACCUGGAAAAGCAGGAGUAAGCAGAUGGAAAACAAGGUAAGAGGAUGGUCAGAAGGAGAGUCCUCCUCAAGCAGCCUGCACUUGAACAUUUGCCCUUCUCACUGCUAGCCUUUCAUGAUUUCCUCAACUGUGGAGAUGCCAACUUUCAAAGAGACAACCUCAGGUCACAGUUUUGCCUGAUGUUACAUGGUGCCCGUAUGCUUGGGUUGGCUUUUCUCCUCAAAUUCUACAGUGUCUGCAGUGCUCAGCUGAGCUGAAAGGGUGACAGUAUUUGUACCAUCAAAUACUUGCCUUUUUAAGCUUUUUUUCUUCUAUAAACAUAGCAAACAAUUGUCCAUAUGAACAGAAUUUACACAUGCAGUGAAAUGUCUUAAUUCUAUUUUAAAAAGCAGGCUUCUCUUGUGGACAGCAAAAACACAAGUUUCCAAAAAUCUGACUUCUUUCUCACCUGCUUAUCAGAUUCUUUCAAUGUCCUCAUGAAUACCUUCUCUCCUCUUACUUAAACUGUAACUAGUACUACAGAUUACUGUUACAAAAUCACUGAUGCUGGAUUUUGGGCUUCCUUGUGAACAGGGCCAGUAGUUUCAAACUAACCCUGCUGCUGAAAACUGGCUGGCCUCAAAGGUUUUAUCUGCCAGAUUAUGGACAUCUGACAGUGGCUGGCUCUACAGGCAACUCCCGUAGCUGAGGAGCUGUUAUUCAAAUUCUUCCUCCACUGCUGCACAGUCAAGGCUGCUUGCUGGCAGCCACAGCAGCCUUCCAAACUGUUCUGCUAUGUGUAUAUGCCACAAAUAAGAACAAUUUCCAGAGUAGCAAGAAUAAGAUGUUCUUCUGAUAUCUGCAAAAGAUCAAAGGACAAGAGCUGGAGUAGCUCAUUCAUUCAUUGGAAAUGAUAUUCUGCUUGUAACCGUGGCACAAGAAGAAAAGGCAAUUCGUGCCCAACUAGCUACUCCAUCUCCUUGGUCUCUUUUGAAAAAGAGUUUCCUCUCAUACCUGAAGAACAACAAAUUGUGAUGGCAAGAGUCAGAAUCCACAUCUGUUCUUCAAAAGCAAAUGCAAAUAUAGGGAAUUCAAUCUGCAUGUUAUCUUUUUAUACCAAAGAGAUUAAAUAUAUUAACCUGA